rnacentral:rRNA from 1 species
UACGUAGGGCGCAAGCGUUGUCCGGAAUUACUGGGCGUAAAGCGCACGUAGGCGGCUUGGUAAGUUAGAGGUGAAAGCCUGGAGCUCAACUCCAGAAUUGCCUUUAAGACUGCCGAGCUAGCAGGUGAGAGAGGUGAGUGGAAUUCCGAGUGUAGAGGUGAAAUUCGUAGAUAUUCGGAAGAACACCAGUGGCGAAGGCGGCUCACUGGCUCAUACUGGACGCUGAGGUGCGAAAGCGUGGGGAGCAAACAGG